rnacentral:rRNA from 1 species
UCGAUUUGGAGUUUGUUGCCUAGAGUGAUGGGCUCCGAAGCUAACGCGAUAAAUCGACCGCCUGGGGAGUACGGCCGCAAGGUUAAAACUCAAAUGAAUUGACGGGGGCCCGCACAAGCGGUGGAGUAUGUGGUUUAAUUCGAUGCAACGCGAAGAACCUUACCUGGUCUUGACAUCCACAGAAUCUUGCAGAGAUGCGAGAGUGCCUUCGGGAACUGUGAGACAGGUGCUGCAUGGCUGUCGUCAGCUCGUGUUGUGAAAUGUUGGGUUAAGUCCCGCAACGAGCGCAACCCUUAUCCUUUGUUGCCAGCGGUUUGGCCGGGAACUCAAAGGAGACUGCCGUUGAUAAAGCGGAGGAAGGUGGGGACGACGUCAAGUCAUCAUGGCCCUUACGACCAGGGCUACACACGUGCUACAAUGGCGUAUACAAAGGGAGGCGACCUCGCGAGAGCAAGCGGACCUCAUAAAGUACGUCUAAGUCCGGAUUGGAGUCUGCAACUCGACUCCAUGAAGUCGGAAUCGCUAGUAAUCGUGAAUCAGAAUGUCACGGUGAAUACGUUCCCGGGCCU